CCUACGGGAGGCAGCAGUGGGGAAUCUUAGACAAUGGGGGAAACCCUGAUCUAGCCAUGCCGCGUGAGUGACGAAGGCCUUAGGGUCGUAAAGCUCUUUCGCCAGGGAAGAUAAUGACGGUACCUGGUAAAGAAACCCCGGCUAACUCCGUGCCAGCAGCCGCGGUAAU
rnacentral:rRNA from 1 species